AGGAUGCCCAGUUAAACUUGAAUUUCAGAUAAACAAGGAAUAAUUUUUAGUUUAAGUAUACCUCAUGUGAAAUUUGGGACAUACUUAAACUAAAAAUUAUUCCUUGUUUAUCUGAAAUUCAAAGUUAACUGGGCUCUGUGU
rnacentral:miRNA from 1 species